UUUCACAGGUGCAGAUUUUGGAGCGGUAGCUUUUGGAACUGGUGGUUUCACAGGUGCAACUGUUGGAGUUGUAACUUUGGGUACAAGUGGUUUCACAGGUGCAGCUAUCGGAGUUGCAACUUUCGGAACCAGUGGUUUCACAGGUGCGGCUGUUGGAGUUGUAACUUUUGGAACUGGUGGUUUCACAGGAGCAGAUGUCGGAGUUGUUACUUUGGGAACUGGUGGUUUCACAGGAGAAGAUGUUGGAGUUGUAGCUUUUGGAACUGGUAACU
rnacentral:lncRNA from 1 species